GGAAGCCAUCCGGCCGGAGAGGAACCUGCUCGGAAGGCAGGCGGCGGCCCCGGGCCGCUUGUGGGUUCGAGUCCCACGGCUUCCGCC
rnacentral:tRNA from 1 species